rnacentral:rRNA from 1 species
GAUGAACGCUGGCGGCGUGCCUAAUACAUGCAAGUCGAGCGGCAGCACGGUCUUCGGACUGGUGGCGUGCGGCGGACGGCUGAGUAACGCGUAGGAACAUGCCCCAAAGUGAGGGAUAACUGCCCGAAAGGGUGGCUAAUACCGCAUGUGGGCUUAGGACUAAAGCUUUAUGCGCUUUGGGAGUGGCCUGCGUCUGAUUAGCUAGUUGGUGAGGUAAUGGCUCACCAAGGCGACGAUCGGUAGCUGGUCUGAGAGGAUGAUCAGCCAGACUGGAACUGAGAACGGUCCAGACUCCUACGGGAGGCAGCAGUAGGGAAUUUUCCACAAUGGGCGAAAGCCUGAUGGAGCAACGCCGCGUGCAGGAUGAAUGCCUUCGGGUUGUAAACUGCUUUUAUGUGCGAAGAAUUUGACUGUAACACAUGAAUAAGGAUCGGCUAACUACGUGCCAGCAGCCGCAGUAA